rnacentral:rRNA from 1 species
GAUGAACGCUGGCGGUAUGCUUUACACAUGCAAGUCGUACGAGAGUUUUUAACUCAAGUGGCGGACGGGUGAGUAACACGUAAGAAUUUACCUUUAGGAGGGGACAACAACGGGAAACUGUUGCUAAUACCCCAUAUGCUUUCGAGUGAAACGGAUUUUUCCGCCUGAAGAGAAGCUUGCGGCUGAUUAGCUUGUUGGUGAGGUAAUGGCUUACCAAGGCGACGAUCAGUAUCUGGUUUGAGAGGACGAUCAGACACACUGGAACUGAGACACGGCCCAGACUCCUACGGGAGGCAGCAGUGGGAAAUCUUAGACAAUGGGGCAACCCUGAUCUAGCCAUGCCGCGUGAGUGACGAAGGCCCUAGGGUCGUAAAGCUC